rnacentral:rRNA from 1 species
CGACGAUUAGAGUUUGAUCCUGGCUCAGAUUGAACGCUGGCGGAAUGCUUUACACAUGCAAGUCGAACGAUGAACCUUAGCUUGCUAGGGGGAUUAGUGGCGAACGGGUGAGUAACAUAUCGGAACGUAUCCAAUAAUGGGGGAUAACUAGUCGAAAGAUUAGCUAAUACCGCAUACGCCCUGAGGGGGAAAGCUAGGGAUCUUCGGACCUGGCGUUAAUGGAGCGGCCGAUAUCUGAUUAGCUAGUUGGUGGGGUAAAGGCUCACCAAGGCUUUGAUCAGUAGCUGGUCUGAGAGGACGACCAGCCACACUGGAACUGAGACACGGUCCAGACUCCUACGGGAGGCAGCAGUGGGGAAUUUUGGACAAUGGGGGCAACCCUGAUCCAGCCAUUCCGCGUGAGUGAAGAAGGCCUUCGGGUUGUAAAGCUCUUUCGCAAGGGAAGAAAACUUAGGCUCUAACAUAGUCUGAGGCUGACGGUACCUUGAUAAGAAGCACCGGCUAACUACGUGCCAGCAGCCGCGGUAAUACGUAGGGUGCGAGCGUUAAUCGGAAUUACUGGGCGUAAAGCGUGCGCAGGCGGUUUUGUAAGUCAGAUGUGAAAUCCCCGAGCUCAACUUGGGAACUGC